rnacentral:rRNA from 1 species
CAUCGUUUAAUGUAAAAAUAUUAAAUACUGUCUGCCCAAUGAUUUUAAUGGCCGCAGUAUCCUGACUGUGCAAAGGUAGCAUAAUCAUUUGUCUUUUAAUUGAAGGCUUGUAUGAAUGGCGUAACGGAGGAAAGUCUUUCCCCUUUUUAACAACUCAAUUUAAUCUAUGAGUCAAAAAGCUCAUAUGGUAAAGCAGGACGAGAAGACCCCUUAGAUCUUUAUAAAAAAUAGAUAAACAUUUAUAGAAUUAUUAUAAGUUUAAACUAUAAAUUUAUUGAAUUGGGGUGAUUAGAGAUUAAAUAACAUCUCUAAAUUAAACUUUUAUAAAAGGACUAAAGACCCAUAAAAUUGAGUAUAAAAUUAAGUUACCUAGGGGAUAACAGCGUAAUUUAGAUUUAGAGUCCUUAUCAAAAUUUAAGAUUGCGACCUCGAUGUUGGAUUAAGAUACAGCACAAAUGCAGCAGUUUGUGUUUGGGGUCUGUUCGACCUUUAAAUUCUUACAU